GCUCUUUUAGGUCUUGUAAUUGGAAUGAGUACAAUUUAAAUCCCUUAACGAGGAACAAUUGGAGGGCAAGUCUGGUGCCAGCAGCCGCGGUAAUUCCAGCUCCAAUAGCGUAUAUUAAAGUUGUUGUGGUUAAAAAGCUCGUAGUUGAACCUUGGGCCUGGCUGGCCGGUCCGCCUCACCGCGUGUACUGGUCCGGCCGGGCCUUUCCCUCUGUGGAACCCCAUGCCCUUCACUGGGUGUGGCGGGGAAACAGGACUUUUACUUUGAAAAAAUUAGAGUGCUCCAGGCAGGCCUAUGCUCGAAUACAUUAGCAUGGAAUAAUAGAAUAGGACGUGUGGUUCUAUUUUGUUGGUUUCUAGGACCGCCGUAAUGAUUAAUAGGGACAGUCGGGGGCAUCAGUAUUCAAUUGUCAGAGGUGAAAUUCUUGGAUUUAUUGAAGACUAACUACUGCGAAAGCAUUUGCCAAGGAUGUUUUCAUUAAUCAGGAACGAAAGUUAGGGGAUCGAAGACGAUCAGAUACCGUCGUAGUCUUAACCAUAAACUAUGCCGACUAGGGAUCGGACGAUGUUAUUUUUUGACUCGUUCGGCACCUUACGAGAAAUCAAAGUGCUUGGGCUCCAGGGGGAGUAUGGUCGCAAGGCUGAAACUUAAAGAAAUUGACGGAAGGGCACCACCAGGGGUGGAGCCUGCGGCUUAAUUUGACUCAACACGGGGAAACUCACCAGGUCCAGACACAAUGAGGAUUGACAGAUUGAGAGCUCUUUCUUGAUUUUGUGGGUGGUGGUGCAUGGCCGUUCUUAGUUGGUGGAGUGAUUUGUCUGCUUAAUUGCGAUAACGAACGAGACCUUAACCUGCUAAAUAGCCCGUAUUGCUUUGGCAGUAUGCUGGCUUCUUAGAGGGACUAUCGGCUCAAGCCGAUGGAAGUUUGAGGCAAUAACAGGUCUGUGAUGCCCUUAGAUGUUCUGGGCUCACGCGCGCUACACUGACGGAGCCAGCGAGUUCUCCCUUGGCCGGAAGGUCCGGGUAAUCUUGUUAAACUCCGUUGUGCUGGGGAUAGAGCAUUGCAAUUAUUGCUCUUCAACGAGGAAUCCCUAGUAAGCGCAAGUCAUCAGCUUGCGUUGAUUACGUCCCUGCCCUUUGUACACACCGCCCGUCGCUACUACCGAUUGAAUGGCUCAGUGAGGCGUCCGGACUGGCCCAGAGAGGUGGGCAACUACCCCUCAGGGCCGGAAAGCUCUCCAAACUCGGUCAUUUAGAGGAAGUAAAAGUCGUAACAAGGUCUCCGUUGGUGAACCAGCGGAGG
rnacentral:rRNA from 1 species